rnacentral:rRNA from 1 species
GGUUGAUCCUGCCAGUAGUCAUAUGCUUGUCUCAAAGAUUAAGCCAUGCAUGUCCAAGUAUAAGCUGUGUUAUACUGUGAAACUGCGAAUGGCUCAUUAAAUCAGUUAUUGUUUAUUUGAUGGUACCUACUACUCGGAUACCCGUAGUAAUUCUAGAGCUAAUACGUGCGCACAUCCCGACUCCUGGAAGGGACGUAUAUAUUAGAUUGCAAGACCGACCCCGGUCUGACCGGGCCUCGCGGUGACUCAUGAUAUCUCUACGAAUCGCAUGGCCCCGUGCCGGCGAUGUUUC